rnacentral:misc_RNA from 1 species
AAGUCGUAACAAGGUUUCCGUAGGUGAACCUGCGGAAGGAUCAUUUUUGGGUUUUAAUUUAUUGGGGCCGUUUAAUCGCGGCUUCCAAGCUAUGCAGUUUGCUGGGGUAAAACCCGGCUUACGUAAAUAGCAACCCCUUGUGAAUCGUGAGGCUUUGGCUUUUUUGAUGGCAUGGCCGGGGUUUUUUUUCGGCCUGUGUUUGAAAUUAGCGAAGGCCUCAUUUUUUUGGACUUCUGGCUUAAAAUCGAGCCUGUCUCUUCGCCAGAAGUACAAGCCUGAAAUUUGAAAUCAUGCUGGGGAAACAAAAACGUCUAGCUUUUUCUCAAAAGCCUGACAGCAUAAAUUGUUAAAGCAUAUACAACUUUUAACAGUGGAUCUCUUGGCUCCU